AUCAUCCUCACGGACAGCGCGGCUGUGCGGGCGGAGAGCUGUCGGAUGAGGCUGUCACUGGCUCGGCCAGCAUUUAUUGCUGCGUUUACCCAGAGGGCAGUUAAGAAUCAACCACGUUGCUAUAGGUCUGGAGUCCCAUGCAGACCAGACCAGAUCCCAGUGAUCAAUGCCAAAGCCCCAUUGCCUGUGUAGAGGGUGAUGUUUGAUUUCCCUGUCCAGCUGCAGUUCAUGUGGUGAAGGUGCUCCUAC